GCCCCCGUAGCUCAAAGGAUAGAGUACUGGUCUUCGGAACCAGUGAUCCAGGUUCGAAUCCUGGCGAGGGCA
rnacentral:tRNA from 1 species